AUUCACAACAGGUAACAUUGUAAAGGUUUAUAAAAAAAUAACUUUUCACAACAGGUAACAUCUGGUGACAUUGUAAAGGUUUAUAAAACUAACUAUUCACAACAGGUAACAUCUGGUGACAUUGUAAAGGUUUAUAAAAAUAACUAUUCACAACAGGUAACAUCUGGUGACAUUGUAAAGGAUUAUAAAAUAACUAUGCACAACAUGUAACAACUGGUGAGAUUGUAAAGGUUUAUAAAAUAAUUAUUCACAACAGGUAACAUCUGGUCACAUUGUAAAGGUUUAUAAAAAUAUCCUUUCAGCAAGAUCACCCUGCAAUAAAUUAUAACACAGCAUUAUGAGAGGCAUCAGGAGCUGAUCCCAAGUGUAUAGCUGGAAGCUGUUGACUAUGUACAGUAUUGGUAAAGUGCACAUGAAUGCAUUUUAUAAUAAUAAAGCAUCCAAUGUCAACCCUGUGUAGAGCUGAGAAAUGUGGUUGUUACUCAGCAUACUUAUAUUAGUUUUAUCGGAGAAAGGACAUCUAGGAUGCGAUCUAUCCAGAUGAGAUUCUCUCCAAUGCCAGCAAACCGACAGUGAAGACACGAGCCAGCACUUCUCCCCCCACAUUGCCUCAGGCUUUUGAGAUUUCCACUUAUAACUGCUUCUCCCCUUUCAUGAGACCGGAUGCUAUGUUGGGAUCACCGGGGCCUCCAUCGCCCGGCAUGUACACGCUACAUCAGGUGUAGCAAUUAUGUGAGCUGCAGUCUGGAUCCUGCCUCUGUCAGAUGACCUAACACAAAUGGAAAGAUGACAUCGGCCCUUGCAAGGACUUCAGACGAUGCCAGCACUGGACUACAUACAGUGGUAAUCAUGGGUGCCCAAACUUGUGCAUGUCACUGUACUGAUAUAUACUAUACAAAUAAUAUUUUCAGUAGUCUGUGUCAAAUUUUAUUUCAAGUCAAUGGGUACCAUCAACUGUAUGAUUGACAUCAUUUAUCAGAUUAAAGAAUUUUUGGCAAGUUUAUAACAACAUGAAGUGUUUGGGUGAGAUCUAGACCGAGGACUAAGGCGUAAACUAGGACAGAACUAAGUGUUUAGUGAACUAUCUGUGUUUAUGCCGUAAAGACACGUGAUGUGUUUAAAGUCCUGCACUUGAUAGGUUUUAUCCACAGUGUCUGAAGGUUUGUUAUUAUUGGUUAUUUCUCUCUGCAGAAGACUGCAUUUUAAGGUUAUACUUAUACAUUUUAAGGUUAUACUUAAUAAGGUUAUAAUUUACUCGAUUACACGAACACUGAUGCAAGCACUUGUUCAACACAGUUUGGUAAGCAACUGGGUGACUGUUAUCUUUAGAUAUCUCUAACAAUAAAAUGUAUAAUUUUCAAGACAUUUGCAUUUAUUCCUCCUAUAGCACUCAUUUUAAGUAUAGCUGAGGAUGCAAAGAAGAAUUAACACUGUUUAUAAUGCACAGCCAGACACAUUCAGGAAUGCAACAACACAGUAGACCAGAUGUUUUAUGCUUACAUAAAGUACUGUAUGCUUUGUGGGUCCACUUUUUGAUUAUCUAUCCAAUAUACACAAUUGUUCAUGUUUGCCAUAGGCACCUACAUUUAAAUAUAAAAGUGUGAUCGUAUGAUUAAUAAUUUUUUUUGGAUGUUUCCAUUUAGGUGAUCCUAAAGCAACAAAGAGGAACCAUGGAGAGGAAGAAGUGGUGUCCAGAUGUUUAAAAGGCGGUGUUCGGGACAGGAAACAAAGGCAACCAAGAGAAACCUCUAAGGUUUAAAGGCGCUGCUUGCAGAGACAACAAAGAAAGACGACCUGACGAGAAUGUUUUAUGAUUAAAUGUUUUUGUUAUGUACAUGCACAUUAUUAUUUACAAUAUAUUUCUAAGAUAA